rnacentral:rRNA from 1 species
GGGGUAACGGCCCACCAAGUCGACGAUCGGUAGCCGGAAUGAGAGGUUGAUCGGCCACAUUGGGACUGAGACACGGCCCAGACUCCUACGGGAGGCAGCAGUGAGGGAUAUUGGGCAAUGGGGGAAACCCUGACCCAGCAACGCCGCGUGAGGGAUGACGGUUUUCGGAUUGUAAACCUCUGUCCUCUGUGAAGAUAGUGACGGUAGCAGAGGAGGAAGCUCCGGCUAACUACGUGCCAGCAGCCGCGGUAAUACGUAGGGAGCAAGCGUUGUCCGGAUUUACUGGGUGUAAAGGGUGCGUAGGCGGAUUGGCAAGUCAGAAGUGAAAUCCAUGGGCUUAACCCAUGAACUGCUUUUGAAACUGUUAGUCUUGAGUGAAGUAGAGGUAGGCGGAAUUCCCGGUGUAGCGGAGAAAUGCGUAGAGAUCGGGAGGAACACCAGUGGCGAAGGCGGCCUACUGGGCUUUAACUGACGCUGAGGCACGAAAUCGUGGGUAGCAAACAGGAUAGAUACCCUGGUAGUCCACACUGUAAACGAUGAUUACUAGGUGUGGGGGGUCUAACCCCCUCCGUGCCGGAGUUAACACAAUAA